rnacentral:rRNA from 1 species
AUUGAACGCUGGCGGCAGGCUUAACACAUGCAAGUCGAGCGAGCGGCGGACGGGUGAGUAAUGUCUGGGAAACUGCCUGAUGGAGGGGGAUAACUACUGGAAACGGUAGCUAAUACCGCAUACCAUCAGAUGUGCCCAGAGUGGAUUAGCUAGUGGGUGGGGAAAGGGCUCACCAAGGCGACGAUCCGUAGCUGGGCUGAGAGGAGGACCAGCCACACUGGAACUGAGACACGGUCCAGACUCCUACGGGAGGCAGCAGUGGGGAAUAUUGCACAAUGGGCGCAAGCCUGAUGCAGCCAUGCCGCGUGUGUGAAGAAGGCCUUCGGGUUGUAAAGCACUGUCAGCGAGGAGGCGUUACUCGCAGAAGAAGCACCGGCUAACUCCGUGCCAGCAGCCGCGGUAAUUC